GUAGUCAUAUGCUUGUCUCAAAGAUUAAGUCAUGCAUGUCUAAGUAUAAGCACUCAUACUGUGAAACUGCGAAUGGCUCAUUAAAUCAGUUAUCGUUUAUUUGAUAGUACCUUACUACUUGGAUACCCGUGGUAAUUCUAGAGCUAAUACAUGCUAAAAACCCCGACUUCGGAAGGGGUGUGUUUAUUAGAUAAAAAACCAAUGCCCUUCGGGGCUACUUGGUGAUUCAUGAUAACCAAACGAAUCGCAUGGCCUUGAGCCGGCGAUGGUUCAUUCAAAUUUCUGCCCUAUCAACUUUCGAUGGUAGGAUCUGGGCCUACCAUGGUAUCAACGGGUAACGGGGAAU
rnacentral:rRNA from 1 species